rnacentral:lncRNA from 1 species
AAAUUUAAGAAUUUGACCUUGACCUUUGACCUUGACCUAAUUUUCAUUUUUUUUGGACCAAGGAUCUUAAAUCAAAAGACCCUAGGUCUCUAUCACUUAUAGUUUACCAGUUAGAAAUGCAUAUCACUGAUAUCAUAUAUAAAAGGGGGGAUAACUCUCAUAUGGAGUCUCCGGAUAGCUUCGGUCAAAAUGAAACAGAACAUCCUAAGGAUAUAACGAGCAAUUUGGAAAAAUAAAUUUGUCGGUUUCUUUAUACGGUUGCGAAGUAGCCUUAGUAGUGGCCACAAGAAAAACAGUGUUCGGGGAGAUAACUCUUACAAGGUAAAGGUUUUUUGUUACGCGGUGUCAGUUUCAGAAGCGUAUUAACUGUUCGAUACAUCAUAUACCAAUAUAUCUAAGCGACAUCUUGUGAAACAAAAAAACAGCGAAGGAAAAAAAAGUUGGCGGAAGAAAAAAAAAAAAAAUAAUUAAAAACCAAUUGUUCAAAGAACAAUUGAAGGUCUUUCAACCAAUAAGGAUCUAUUUAGAUAUGAAAAUAUUAAAAUUCAGUUGAAAAUGUCAGUUCCUAUGGCUUAAUGAUGUAUAAAUAUGAAUUUUAAGCAAAGGUCAAAAUCUAGAACGUCCAAUUAACCUAUGACCUUGACCUCAAUUUCAAGGUCAUAGACUAAACAUCUCAAAUAAAAAGACACUAGUUCCUUAAUAUGUAUGGUUCAUGAGUAAAAUCACUUUACGCAUAAUUCUUAAUAUAAGAGGGGCGAAAACUCCCUUUUAUUGUUUACGCACCCUCGCAACCAAAAUUUAUAAGUUACGACAUGUCGCAACUAACAAUUUAGUAAAAAAAAUUGUCGAUAUCUUAUAAGGUUAAUGAAAAAAGGUGAAAAUAAGCCAAAAUCAAAAUUUAAGAAUUUGACCUUGACCUUUGACCUUGACCUAAUUUUCAUUUUUUUGGACCAAGGAUCUUAAAUCAAAAGACCCUAGGUCUCUAUCAC